rnacentral:rRNA from 1 species
UACGUAGGGAGCAAGCGUUGUCCGGAAUCAUUGGGCGUAAAGCGCGCGUAGGCGGCCCGGUAAGUCCGCUGUGAAAGUCGGGGGCUCAACCCUCGAAUGCCGGUGGAUACUGUCGGGCUAGAGUGCGGGAGAGGCGAGUGGAAUUCCUGGUGUAGCGGUGAAAUGCGCAGAUAUCAGGAGGAACACCAAUUGCGAAGGCAGCUCGCUGGAACGUAACUGACGCUGAGACGCGAAAGCGUGGGGAGCAAACAGG